rnacentral:rRNA from 1 species
ACGGGUGAGUAACGCGUGAGCAACCUGUCCCAGACAGGGGAAUAACACUUGGAAACAGGUGCUAAUACCGCAUAAGACCACAGCAUCACAUGAUGCAGGGGUAAAGGAGCAAUCCGGUUUGGGGUGGGCUCGCGUCCGAUUAGAUAGUUGGUGAGGUAACGGCCCACCAAGUCGACGAUCGGUAGCCGACCUGAGAGGGUGAUCGGCCACAUUGGAACUGAGAGACGGUCCAAACUCCUACGGGAGGCAGCAGUGGGGAAUAUUGGGCAAUGGGCGCAAAGCCUGACCCAGCAACGCCGCGUGAGUGAAGAAGGCUUUCGGGUUGUAAAGCUCUGUUAUAGGGGACGAAGGAAGUGACGGUACCCUAUAAGGAAGCCCCGGCUAACUACGUGCCAGCCGCCGC